rnacentral:ribozyme from 1 species
GGAAGCUUUGAAGGGCGCAUUGGGUCAGAAGUAAAAGCAAAAGCUUACCGAAAACUAGUCGGCUAAAUAGAGCUCUAUUUUUUUCAAUCCAACUCUGAAUUCGGAUUAAAAAGAAAGAAGCAAAAAAAUUACAAAUAGACGUUAACCAAUUUGGUUAACGUAAAGCUCUCCCGAGAUAUUUUUAAACAAAGCCCCCAGUAA